rnacentral:rRNA from 1 species
CCUACGGGGGGCAGCAGUGGGGAAUAUUGGACAAUGGGCGAAAGCCUGACCCAGCCAUGCCGCGUGUGUGAAGAAGGCCUUCGGGUUGUAAAGCACUUUCAGUGGGGAAGAAAGCCUUGGGGCUAAUACCCUCGAGGAAGGACAUCACCCACAGAAGAAGCACCGGCUAACUCCGUGCCAGCAGCCGCGGUAAUACGGAGGGUGCGAGCGUUAAUCGGAAUUACUGGGCGUAAAGCGCGCGUAGGCGGUCUGAUAAGCCGGUUGUGAAAGCCCCGGGCUCAACCUGGGAACGGCAUCCGGAACUGUCAGGCUAGAGUGCAGGAGAGGAAGGUAGAAUUCCCGGUGUAGCGGUGAAAUGCGUAGAGAUCGGGAGGAAUACCAGUGGCGAAGGCGGCCUUCUGGACUGACACUGACGCUGAGGUGCGAAAGCGUGGGUAGCAAACAGGAUUAGAUACCCCAGUAGUC